AUGAAUUAUGUUAAGAUGAAAAGUUUGGGUGACAUUGCAUUGUUUUAUGUUUCUCGUAAAAACUGUCGGGCAUUGAGCAAUCCUCAGAGAUUUGGGUAUCGGAGCAAUUACGUGUAUGAAGUAAAUUCUUUUUCCAAAUGUGGUAUGUAUGAUUGGAACGAUCAUAGAUUAAGUUAUUAUAAGCGUUCUGCUGGAGACUUCAAUUUUGAUUGGUGUUUUAGACAUUUUGUAUGUCAAGGUUCUGUUAGAAGCGACUUCAAUUUAUUUGAUUGGUGUUUUACACAUUUAAAAUAUCAAGUUGAUUAUUCUUUAGUUGAAUAA